AGCGAACGCUGGCGGCAGGCUUAACACAUGCAAGUCGAGCGGGCACUUUCGGGUGUCAGCGGCGGACGGGUGAGUAACGCGUGGGAACGUGCCCUCUGGUUCGGAAUAACUCAGGGAAACUUGAGCUAAUACCGGAUACGCCCUUUUGGGGAAAGGCUUGCUGCCGGAGGAUCGGCCCGCGUCUGAUUAGCUAGUUGGUGAGGUAACGGCUCACCAAGGCGACGAUCAGUAGCUGGUCUGAGAGGAUGAUCAGCCACACUGGGACUGAGACACGGCCCAGACUCCUACGGGAGGCAGCAGUGGGGAAUAUUGGACAAUGGACGCAAGCCUGAUCCAGCCAUGCCGCGUGAGUGAUGAAGGCCUUAGGGUUGUAAAGCUCUUUUAUCCGGGACGAUAAUGACGGUACCGGAGGAAUAAGCCCCGGCUAACUUCGUG
rnacentral:rRNA from 1 species